rnacentral:lncRNA from 1 species
AUGACUUCCGUUGCCUCCUCUGUCAUAUUUGUCACAUCUAUUCGUCAUUGGUUUCCAUUGUGCUCAUCAUCAUCAUGGGUUUUCUCCCCUCUGCCAUCAAGGAACCCCAGAUUAGGUCUCAGAAAAUCCUUCUGGUUAUUCGUGGUCUCAAGGUUAAGACUCACGACCUGGACCAAUUUUUGGAGGAGACUGCUAUAUUGGCUCCCUGGAUAUCCCCCAGAGAACAUGUGGGACCCUGACCUCUGGAUGUGUGUUCUCUUCCUUGCCUAA